AGAGCACGUCUGAUGGACAGGCAAGCUCGGGGCAGUUACAGCAACUUACCUCCUAGUGUGAAGUCCUUCCCCUGGUUCCUCAUUGGCUGAGCACUACAGAGAUCUUCAAGUCAAGGAGAACCACUCUUGAUGAGGUACAUGCAGAGAUGACAUCCAGAUUCAGACCUGACAUGGAUGACAAGCCCCUCGGCCUCACAUUGAUGCCUUAAUGAGGUGGAUUUGGGGAAGGAGGUGACUGCAUUUUGUACAUGGUUGCUAGAAGUCAGACCAUGGUAUACAGUCUCCAAAGAUGGCCACUGUUAACUUCAUGCUACUGCUCCUCACAUGAAAAGAUGGGGCCUAAUUCUCUUCUCCUUGAAUCUGGGCCAGCAUAAUGACUUACUUGAUCAACAGAAUGCAGCAGAAAUGAUGCUCUUGGAUUUCUGAGAUAAAUCUUAAAAAGCCUCAUAGCCCCCUUUGGGGCCUCUUGGGCUGCUCACUUUGGGUACACUUCCUCUCAGAACCUAGAUGCCAUGUUCUGAGAAGCCCAAGCUACAUAGAGAGGUCACAGGUAGGCAUUCCAGCUGACUCCCAGCUAACAACUGGUGCCAAAUGCCAGGGUAAUUGAGUGAGCUACCUUGGAAACUGAAUUAAUUUGAACUUUCUGAUGACUCCAGCCCCAACAUCUGUCUUCAACUGCAUGAGAGGUCCCAAAUGAGAACCCCAUUGACUGAUUACAGUCUACUUAUAGAACCUUGAGAGAUAAUAAAUUUGUUUUAAUUUAACAA